CUCCCCCCCGGCCUUGCCCAUAGUCCCUGCUCUGGGACCUGUGCCCUCACCAUCCACUCCACUGUCCCUCACCUUCUCAGGACCGGGGUGAUGGAGAGCCUGGGAGGAGCCACCUGUCUGUGUUGUUACAUCUGCGGAGCCAGGCGGGUGUGCAGGCUGGGUGUUCCCAUUCGGUUUUGGCCUCCGCCCUUGUCCCAGAGCUCCAGAGGCCCUUCUGAUCUCUGUCUCCACCCUGUUCCUGGGGUCAGCUGGUGAAGGAUGAAAUGAUCAGGCCAAGGUCCAGAGAGGUCAUGAUCUUCCUAAGGUCACACCGCUGGUAAGUGCCAGACCCCCAACUCCAAGUUUCCUUGAGAGGCCAGUGUUCCUUUCAACCCACCACGAAAGCUUCUCUGAAUGAGGUAAACCAAGAUAGAGAGCAGAUACUCAUGUUUUCGACAAGUAUUUGUUGAACACCUAAUAGGUAUAAGGCAGUGGGCCUGUGCUCAGGAGAGAGAGGACUGAGUGUUGACCUCUCAAAGCGCACAGUCUAGCAGGGGCCAUAUGGCAUCUAGCCAUAAGUGAAACCCUGAACAGUUGGUGACAAGGGGCACCAGGGAGGUACAAGCAAAGGGAGGGCCAGGGAGUGCUUCCAAGGGGAGGUGGCAUUUGACACAGGCCUAGGGGAGUGGGUAGAAUGUGUU
rnacentral:lncRNA from 1 species